rnacentral:lncRNA from 1 species
CCAAAGCAUGAAGUGAAGAGGAAAGGAAAGAACACAAACCCUAGGUGGGAAAAUUGAAGAAAAAGUGUGGGAUUUCAAGGGAUUAAGCUAAUAAAGGUAAAAUUUUGUGAUUUUAUCUUGUGAUUUACACUACCCAUGCUUUCUUUUUCAUUUUCCAUGCUUAGAACUCAAGUUUGCAUGAUGAACCCAUGCUGGCCGAAUUUGAGAGGAGAGGUUUUGAGCAUUGAUUUUGCUAGAUUUCAAGCUAAUUAAGUGUUUUUGGUUGUUUGGUAAUGGAAAGUAUGAAAAUCUAGCAAAGAAUCACUUUGUUCUUCACAAACCCACAAGAGGCCGAAUUUUCUAGGGAGGAUAUUAAGGCUGAAAUUGAUGAUAUUUCAUGAUAUUUUGGUGGUAUUUAAUGAUUGGUGAGGCUAGAAAUUUAAUGAGAAAUUUUGGCAUGAAAAUUUGAAUUUUUACCUAAUGUAUAGACAUGUGCGAUUUAUGGUUUGGACUGAUAAAUUGAAUCAUAUUCACAAUCAUUGAGGUAUUUUAAGUAUAAUUGGAGUGUAGAAAGUGAAAAAAAUUGAUUUGGAGUUAAAUUAGAGGUUUUAGCCAAUUACACCGAGAAUAGUGCGAAUUAGGUCGAAUACCGUAUUUAAACGGCUAUUCGGACAUUUUGCAUCACAUUUUGUGCAUUCAUAUAGAUUUAUAGAGCCUGAAAUAGUUUAUGAUAAAUUGACACAAUUUAUUGAAAUUCAUGUCAUGUAUGAUGUAUAGGUGGUGAGCCCUCUAACAAGGGUAAAGAGAUUGUGCCCGAAGACCAAGAAUAGGAGUAUAUCGAUCUCCUAGUACUGUGAGUAACCUUACUAUCGUCUUAAUUAUAUAAAGUAUGUUUUAUCCAAUUUUGUGAAUUUUAUGGAAAAUGAAUUAAAUGAUUAAUUUUUCUAUUUUAUAAACAAAAUAUGAUUUAGUGAAAUGAUUCCAUAAAAUUGUUUUAAAAUUGAAUAAUGGCUUUUCAAAUAGAGUAAUUGGAGACCAUUUGAUGUAUUGUGAAUUCAUGGUUCUAAUUGAUUGGCUUAUGACAAUAUUGGUAUGAAUGGCUGAAUUGGUAUUUGUAUUGAAAUGUAUAAACUAUUGUUUGCCUUGAUAGGCUGGAUAAUGAUAAAAUUGCCAUGUCAUGCUGUUGAAUUUUUAUUGUAUGGUGGGUUUAGCUUGCUGCAGUGAGCUAGUUCUGUGGACCAGCCUAUUAGAGGGGCACAAAACCUGGUCAUAUUCAUACCUCAAUUUGAGAGGCACGGAUGGAUAACUCCUGAGGUUAACACUUUAGAGUUCACUUCACGCCAAACCACCACGUGAGGGUGAACUAGGCCAAAGCCAAGGAACGGUUAUGUUUUCAAAAUAAAAACAUGAUUUAUGCGUACAUAACUUUUUAACAGCCUUGGUGGAUUCGGUUAGGGUUAGCCCUCGGCCAAGGUAUCCCUGAUGAUUGAGUAUGAUGAUGAUUUUGGCACGAGCCAAAGUUUUAAGAAAUUCAUAAGCCAUGUUAAUUACUCGAUUUUUAUGAAUUGAUUUUAUUUGGUUGAAACAAGUUGAAAGGUGAUGAAUUUCAGUAUGUUAAACUGUUUUAUCUAUCUCCAUUUACUCGACUUUAGAUGGUUUAGUUGGUAUCUGUUUACUCACUGAAAUUUUAUAAUCUCACCACCCUCCUUUUCAACCAUUUCAGGCCCAAGGUAGCCAGUGGAUAACAGAUAUCGUAAAGGAUUAUAGUUGGCUUUACUACUCCAAAAACUGUAGGUUUACUGCCUUUGUGCACUUUUGUUCCUUGUGGGCCCAUGAGUCACUGUAAAGUAAAUUUCAUACCCCGGUUAUUUGUAUUAUAGUACAUAUGAAUUUAUUUAGCUUUUACAUUACAAAAAAUUAUUUGCCGAUAACUCUAUAAAUAUUGUUUUACAAGAAAUUAGAAUAUUUUAUUGAAUAUUUUUAUUUUAUUCAAAUAGUUGCAAUAUCAUUUUUAAUAAAUUUUUU